UACGGAGGGUGCAAGCGUUAAUCGGAAUUACUGGGCGUAAAGCGCCUGUAGGCGGCCUGUCAAGUCCGGCCUGAAAGCCCCCCGCUCAACGGGGGAGGGUGGCUGGAAACUGGCAGGCUUGAGGGCGAGAGAGGAGGGUGGAAUUCCUGGUGUAGCGGUGAAAUGCGUAGAGAUCAGGAGGAACACCCGUGGCGAAAGGCGGCCCUCUGGCUCGACCCUGACGCUGAGAGGCGAAAGCGUGGGGAGCGAACGGG
rnacentral:rRNA from 1 species